ACAUACUUACAUCCGUGAAUAGUAAUUGCAUUUUAAAUUAGUAACUUUCUUUAAAAUUGUUUAGUGUGAUAAAUAACAGCUUUUCAUUUCUAACAGUAAUUUUAUAAGUUGUUCUUUUAGACUUAGUAUAAAUAACUUGUGACCCUUACCAACCUUAUCUCUAUCAAGAACACGAUUCUACACAUUAAAACUCCGUGUCUCCGGAACCUUACUAGACAAGCGCCGCUAAUUGCACAGAUUAAUAAAAGACAAUUAUGGUAAGACUUUUAAAAACAUGUUUAUAAAGUUACCAACAAUUAACAAAAACAAAAAUUGAAACUGAAACGACAAAACACAGUUAAAACAAACGAAGCAAAUAAAUAAAAGUUUGUACAAAAUAAAUUGCAAUGGCAACAACAGUGUAUGGGCACGGCGUAGAUAUAAACUCAUCAAACAAUUAGUGGUGAUAGUGCAGAGACCUGAACAACAUGAGAGCCAACUGCAAACUUUACUACAUGUGAGUUUUUAUUGCUAACAUCCAUUGUCAUGUUAGUGUUGGUUUUUAAGGACAUUUAAGUUUGGAAAUAAUAGUUUGCCUCGUAGUGCGGAGUGGUCUACCUCGUAAUGAUUUAAUAGGCUUUCUGGUGUGUGUGAAAGCAAAAUAAAUCAGUUUUUUUAAUGUAAUAAAUAACAAUUUAUUCGUUUAAUUAUUAUAAUAUAUAACAAAAAAACUCUCGUUUGUAAUUUUGCUUUCACUUUCACUUUAUAGCCUUAUAAAUACAGGAAUUCAUAUCUAAUUUUUUUUAAGAAUGCGUGGGGUAUACCAAGUUUUAUAAGUACAUAUAUAAAUGUUCACAUUUCGUAAUUCGUAAAUUAACAUAAUAAAAAAUAGAUAUUCAAUAAUAUCCAUAUUAGUAAUAAUAAUUUUAUAUAUUAGGAUUACAAAAACAUGUUCUGUUCAAAAAACUUGUUUCUAUUUUCAGGUCGUCCUUUCCACAAUACAUUGAACACGGUUGUUUACAUUUUAUUUAUUAAGUUGAACCUUACCUUAGUAAUCAACUUAAAUAAUAUUAUCGAGAACUCUGAUGCUAAGUUAGACCUAAAAUAAAAUUCUUGCACUACCUAUCGUUUCCUAAAAUGUACAAUAAUUAGAAACAAGUUGUCUUGUGUUACAUCCAAACACUUUGCAAUGUUUACAAUUUUUCUUUUAUGGAUAAAGGAUUGGAUAAAACUAAGCUUAUCUCGACUUCAAUCCAAAGUAAAACAAUGUACCAUACCCAGACCAGAAAGUACUUUCCUUCGCCUUCUUUGUGUGCGCAGCAGCCUCUUAUUUCCUGAAGACGAUAUUCAAUAAGACGGAAAUAGCUCUAGGGCUCGUAUCCUAGAAGGCCAAUGUAUUAUUCUUAAAGAAUAUAGAAAAGGAAAGUGACAACCGAGCAAAUGGCCUACUUGAUGGGAAAAAAUGAAUUGCCAACCUUGCUUUUGAGGAAAGGAAGAGAAUAAGGAAAUGCCAGGAAAGGGAGGAAACAAGGAAAGGACAACCGACUCUCUCACUCAUAGGACGAAACGCAGCUAUUAAAGACUACUUCACGCCGAUCUUCUGUGAGAUGGUGGUACUUCCCCGGUCGAGCCGGGCCAUGUUUAGCUGUAGUAACUGACCACAAAUAGGCUCUAUCACCUUCUUUACGUUAACUGUGUUCAUUCGCUAACGAGGUGAAAAUCUUGGUCAAUCAGUCUUGUUAUUUUUUAUCUACCUAUUUUUCAUCCACAAUUCCUUAAUUCUUUUUUUGCGUACUGCUGUUAAUACUAGCAGAAUGUCUUGACUGUAUCUUAAAGUCUGGCAGUGUAGUCAUGGACGUUUUAUAUGAUACAUUUAAAGAAAAAGUAUUUAAAAAAACAUUAUUUUUUUCAAUAAAGCAAUUUAAUUGCUUUAUGUUCUGUGUUGAAAAUUGCUUCAACAUCUAUAAAAUAUGACGCGAUCACUUAACUUUGUAUGAGUUAAACACUUAAAUAUGAGUCAGAUUAAAAUUUUAACAAAAUAUUUUACACAUAAAAUAUAUUUUUUACCA